rnacentral:rRNA from 1 species
UACCAGCACCCCGAGUGGUCGGGACGUUUUAUUGGGCCUAAAGCAUCCGUAGCCGGUUCUACAAGUCUUCCGUUAAAUCCAGCUGCUUAACAGAUGGGCUGCGGAAGAUACUAUAGAGCUAGGAGGCGGGAGAGGCAAGCGGUACUCGAUGGGUAGGGGUAAAAUCCGUUGAUCCAUUGAAGACCACCAGUGGCGAAGGCGGCUUGCCAGAACGCGCUCGACGGUGAGGGAUGAAAGCUGGGGGAGCAAACCGG